CACUGUGCAGCUCCAGAGGGCAAGACAAGAACCGUUGGGAGAAUCUUCUAGGGGGCCGGCUGGAAUUCAAAGGGAAGAAGCCCUUUCUGAUGUUAGAGCCAGAUGGCAGCAACCUGGCUCCUAGAGGGGGGCAGGCCACCUGCCCUGCUUCCCCACUGCCAAAGACGGAUACACCCACACCCCGAAACUGAGGAAGCCUGUGGGGGUCCAGUGCUGCCUCUGAUGAACACGCACUCCCCGGAGGUGAGCACCACGGCUCUCACCACCACGGCAAGCUCUGUCCAGCAUUGAGACCAGCACGCAGGAGAUGUUCA
rnacentral:lncRNA from 1 species